AUUGAACGCUGGCGGCAGGCUUAACACAUGCAAGUAGAGCGAGCGGCGGACGGGUGAGUCAUGUCUGGGAAACUGCCUGAUGGAGGGGGCUAACUACUGGAAACGGUAGCUAAUAACGCCUACCAUCAGAUGUGCCGGGAUGGGAUUAGCUAGUCGGUGGGGUAAUGGGUAACCUAGGCUACGAUCCCUAGCUGGUCUGAGAGGAUGACCAGCCACACUGGAACUGAGACACGGUCCAGACUCCUACGGGAGGCAUCAGUGGGGAAUAUUGCACAAUGGGCGCAAGCCUGAUGCAGCCAUGCCGCGUGUGUGAAGAAGGCUUUCGGGUUGUAAAGCACUUUCAGCGAGGAGGCGUUACUCGCAGAAGAAGCACCGGCUAACUCCGUGCCAGCAGCCGCGGUAAUAC
rnacentral:rRNA from 1 species